rnacentral:rRNA from 1 species
UAAUAUAUUGGUGUAGUAUGAAAAGAAUGCCUUGGAAGAAAAAUUUAGGCGUGUAUAAUCACGAAAGUGUUGGUACGAGGAAAACCUGUGACACCAACCAACCUAGUAUGGGAAACCAGGGUUAUAAAGCCCGCUGCUCUGGCAGUAAUAAGGGGAAGUGAAACAUCUCAGUACCCUGUAGACCAAAUCAACCGAGAUAUCGCUAGUAGUGGUGAGCGAAAGCGGUAAAAAGGCAAAACGAUAAUAUAAAUAACUUAUUAGUUAUUCUAAAUAAAGAGUGAACAGAAAUAUUAUUUAUAAAUGAUAUUUUUACCAUAGAAGGUGCUAGUCCUGUAAUAACUUUUUUUUUCGUUUUAGUAAAAUAAGGCAAGUUUACCUUGUUUGAGUAUUGGGGGACCACCCUCAAAGCCUAAAUGUUUUUCUUUCCGAUAGUGAACAAGUACCGUGAGGGAAAGGUGAAAAAGAAGUUGCGACAGUGCAAAGAUCCUGAAAUUUCAUAUUUGAGUCGAAGCUUACUUUAAGCAACGGCAUACCUUUUGUAUAAUGGGCAAGUGAAUCUUGAUAAAGGGCAAGCUUAAGCUGUAAAAGUGAAGGCUAAGAUAAAUCGAGUCUUAUGUGGCGAUUCAAAGUCCUUUGUUAAGUACCCGAAACCGGCUGAUCUAAGCUUGAGCAGGCUGAUAUUGUAGUGGCAACACUCUUUGGAGGGCCGAACCCGUGUAUGUGGCAAAAUACUGGGAUGACUUGAGUUUAGGGGUGAAAGGCCAAUCAAAGUCGGUGAUAGCUGGAUUUCUGCGAAAUCUAUUGAAGUAGAGCGUCUUGUUAAAGAAAAUCUGGGGUAGAGCACUGUGUAAGUAAAGGGGAGAUUAUCUCUUACUGAACUUUUGCAAACUCCGAAUACAGAUUUAUUCAUUCAGGGCAGACAGAGUAUGUAUGCAAAGAUUCAUACUCAAAAGGGAAACAGCCCAGACUGUAGGUUAAGGUCCACAAAAUAGUUUCAGUGGUAAAGGUGAUAUUUGCUCUGAGACCGUCAGGAGGUAGGCUUGGAAGCAGCCAUUCUUUUAAGACAGCGUAACAGCUCACUGACCUAGAGCAAAAGUCCCGCCAAUUUUGAGGGCUUAAAACUAUUACCGAAUCCUCAGAUAAAAGUUUUAAAUACACUUUUAUGGUAGCAGAACUUUCCGUAGGUCGUAAAAGCUAUGGCGUAAGCUAUUGUGAAGAUAUCGGAAGCGAGAAUACUUGCAUGAGUAGCAUAAAACAAUAAAAUUAAAGUAUUGUAGCCGUAAGUCCAAGGUUUACGAUCCUAAGUAAAGCUAGGUCGUGAGAGGUUAAAACCUCGAAUUAAAACGGUCCCUAAGCUAGCAAGCCAAAGCUUGCGGUAAUGGGUAAGAUUAAACUGUUAAAGGUUGCUGACGAAAAAUUCACUUUAUCUUUGAAUUUUGUCAAAGGUAAAUUAUUUUUUCCAAGAAAAAGGCACUUUAUUUAAAACCGUACCUUAAACCGCCACAGGUGGACAGGUGGAGCACACUAAGGCUUUGAGAUAACCUUGUUGAAGGAACUCGGCAAAAUGACUCUGUAACUUCGGAAUAAGGAGUAAAAAUAUGGAGCGCAAGCUCUUAUUUUUGGCACAAAAUCGGGGGUAGCGACUGUUUAUUAAAAACACAGGUCUCUGCUAACUCGCAAGAGGAUGUAUAGGGACUGACACCUGCCCGGUGCCGGUAGGUAAAGCUUUGAUGUUUACGCAUUGAGGUCAAACCCCGGUAAACGGCGGCUGUAACUAUGACGGUCCUAAGGUAGCGAAAUUCCUUGUCGGGUAAGUUCCGACCCGCAUGAAUGGUGUAACGACUUCCCCGCUGUCUCCAACAGGGACUCAGUGAAAUUACAUAGGUCGUGAAGAUGCGACCAUCCUGCAGCUGGACGGAAAGACCCCGUGCACCUUUACUAUAAGCAAGCAUUGUAAUUCAAAGACUUAAGUGUAGAAUAAGUGGGAGUUUAUGACUUUUUUUCGCCAGAGAUUAACGAGGCAAUAGUGAAAUACCACUCCGAGAUCUGUUGACUUACUAACUACGGGACAGUGUUUGCUGGGUAGUUUGACUGGGGCGGUCGCCUCCUAAAGAGUAACGGAGGCAUACAAAGGUAGGCUCAUCUCCCUAUAAGGAGAAUCGAGUAUAAUGGCAAAAGCCUGCUUGACUGUAAGAAAGACAUUUCGAUCAGGGACGUAAGUCGGUCAUAGUGAUCCGGUAGUUCUUUGUGGAAAGGCUAUCGCGCAAUGGAUAAAAGGUACGCCGGGGAUAACAGGCUAAUGAUCCUCUAGAGCCCCUAUCGACGGGUUCGUUUGGCACCUCGAUGUCGACUCAUCACAUCCUGGAGCUGGAAAAGGUUCCAAGGGUUCGGCUGUUCGCCGACGAAAGUGGUACGUGAGUUGGGUUUAGAACGUCGUGAGACAGUUUGGUCCCUAUCUUCUGUAGGUGUUUGAAAAUUCCGAGGACUAAACCUUAGUACGAGAGGACCGGGAAAACUCGAUCCCUUGUGUUCCGGUUGUUCCCAAAGGAGCAACGCCGGGUAGCUACAUCGAGAAGAGAUAAUCGACCUUUAGGCGAGAAACUCUCCUCAAGUUAAAUUUUCAUAGGGGAGUGGAAGAUUACCACUUUGAUAGGCGAGAAGUGUAAGAGCUGUAAAGUUUUUAGCUGACUCGUACUAAUACCCAAAAAUUUU